CUUUUUUCUUCUCCACUGCCCCAUCUUCUCCGGCUCAGGGCUGGUCGCGCCGUCCUCCUUUUCCUCCUCUGGCGUUCUACACGGCGGCCCUCCGGCGAGGCACGUCCCCGUCGCCUUCUUCCCUGGUGGGAUGCCUCCCGGCUUGCUCUGCUUGGCACAGAGGAUGCGAACGAGGUGUCGGUGCUUCUGAGCGGCUCAGCGGAGCUCGGGAAGGCCGGCAGCCACGGCGAUUUUCGGACGGAGGAGGCCAGCAGCCGGUCCAGGAUUCCGUGCGCGGAACGAAAAGGAGAGGCCGGAUCCAUGAGCAUCGCUGGCAAUACCAAGACGUCAGGAACGGCGCGGCAAUCUGCCACACCAAGUUUUCGUCUGCCAUGGAGCACUGGCGUCGAUGCCUUCAGAUCCGGCCAGCCACAAAAGAUUUGGGGCGAUGGAGCACGAGCGUGGUGGCGAUCCGGCAACCACCUGCGUUCAGGUGACAAGUUCAUCUGCCUGCCUUUCCUACUUCCCCUCAAUCUGAUUUUCCCUCUUCAAUUUUUUUUUCAGUUCGAUCAAGUAAGUCAGGCCGAGCAAGGCAGCGCGUGCUGCUGCUUCUUGAUUUUUUGGGGCGGCCAGCGCACAAGUGGUUUGCGCUGGUGGAUCAUCGCGGUCGGCCGGAGGUGCAGUCACGCUAUGGCCUAUGGUCUUGAUGGGCGGCAGCACGGGCCAGCGCUGAAGAGGGGCUUGAACCUCCGGAACCAUAAGAAACCGAAGUAGAACAAGUAACUACCUCUUCUCUAUAUUGAUGCAUUUGCACAUCUCUGAAUUUUAAAGUAUACUUGGCCUCUGCUCCUGCUGGGAACGAAGAAAACUGUUACGCUUGGCUCUGUGAAGUGGCAAACAACGAAAAGACUAACUGAACCAUGUUCAAUCUGAAAAGAAGACAUAAGGCACUCAUGUACACAUAAUCAGUAUUCAAUAGUCAAGUAAAUAGGCGAACUUCAGUAUUUUAUGCUCAUAUUCAGGAUAAAACUGUAUCCCAGGGACACCAUCUUCAGGCUUUUUAGCAGGACCAUCUGUCCAUACUUUGCCUUAUACUAUUAAAUGCAGAGUGUAGAACCAUGCUGAACAAGAUAAUCAGGUUUCAGUCCAAAUACUCUUUCGCAACGACCUUUAUUAAUAAUUUUACCAUGCCACUUAAUUAGCACUUUAGGAGUUCCUUUUAGCACCGGUAAUUGUUUGUACCAGCUGUAAACAGGGCACUAGCAUACCAUCAGAUUCUUACUACCUGACUUUAUUUGUUACUGAAGGCUACAGAAAAUAGACAGAGAAAUCAUUUUAAUUAGAAAGACGGUGUAUCUAACAUUAUAAGCGAAAUGGAAAACUAACUUAGCUCUCUUAUACUCUACCAAAAUUUAUUCUACGAGAAUUGUCACCUUAUCUUCGUAAAGCCUUUUUAUUUGUUUUAACUUUUUCCAUUUUUAUCUUUGCUACAGUUAAUUGUGACAAACCAAGAUGAAAUUACUUUUCAUCUUCAUUUUAUAUCCUUUCAUUAUAUAAUGCUAGGCACGACAUGUGUUGUUCUAUGCUCAACUUUACAUGUUCUUUGCUCAGAUCACAAGUGACUAUUUCAAUAUAUUCCAGAUUUUGUUCUUUCUUGUGUUCUGCAAGAUACACUUACCACCAUUUCUGAUAUCAUAUGAAAUUUAAGGUAUCAAAGCAGUACAUCUUUUAUACAUCGGAUUUGGGAUAAUUUUCUGAUGCUCAUAAAACAGUAUUGAGCUAUUAUGUGCCUUACAUGAUUCUGCCAUAUUUUCUUACUAGAUUUGCAUCCCAGGAGUUAAGGAAUUGAUGAUCGCCCUUGCAGGAUUGUAUGAGUUGUUGUUACCAUCUUUGAUUUAGAGGAGUUUCAAGUUAUCUGACCACUUCGUGAGACAGUGACAGACUUCACCACAGUUUAUCAGUGAAAAUUCUUGGUGCAAGAAUGCUAUCAAGUGUCGCGGAUUUGGGCGAUCGGGAUUUGCUUUGCAAGGUGUUGCACUGCAUUGUGACCUGGGUUUUCUUUGGUCGGGGUUCGAUUUGCGUCGUCAUCUUGCCGGGCUAAACGUAGUGCUCUAAACUAUUCAUGAAUUUCUGCUAAAAGUCGGUCUUCCCCAUGCUUUUCUGUUUCCAUAUGUGUAUCUAUCUCCGAACCUAAUGGAUUCACUUGCACGCAGGUUAGAGGGGCAAUUUACACUGAUUUAUUUAAGGAUGUCUUGCUUAGAGCCCAUCAAUGGAACAUAUUCUAUGCCCAUCAGCGGGGGCGGCUCUGCGCAUCAACAACAAUUCAGAUUAGAAUUGCAGAUGAUCUAUCCCCUCUAUUGUUUAUCUCAAGCCAAUCUACAAACUUGCACGAACCUCUAUCGGCGUCAUUUGUUUCAGGCCAGUAGGAAAAUGUAUGGUCCAGUUAAACCAUGUAAUGUUGUUGUCUGGCCCAGUCCACUGAACCGGCAUAUUCUCCGUAUAAUCCAGUGUGGAUGACCUUGUCCAUCUAAGUAUCCCUGCUUAUAUUAUAUGUCUCAUCUUAGUUCAAGUAGGUGUUUGGAGACAAUAAUUUUUAAACUCCUGCAAUGUCUGCCUAUAUUAUAUGCGUCAUUUUA